CUUGCUUAACACCCUCAAAAUGCAUCCAACCGACAAACAGUUUAUUCAUUUUAACUUGUCACGAAAACUCAGGAAAUGGCAACCAGAUUCGCUCUGAGCCGACUCUGUAUCACUCGCUCGAUGGAGACAACUCGGGGGGCAACUCGCUACUACAGCGAUAGCAAGGGCCGUAUCCUGAGCGAAGAGGAACGCGCCGCUGAGAACGUCUAUAUCCAGGUUUCUUUCUCUUCUUCUUUCUCUUAAAUUUUUUCAUCACUUUUGUUAGUUUUUGAUUGAGUUCCUGUUUGCUGUUGAGAAAGUCUAGGAAAAUAGAAGAAAAUCGAAGUAUUAUAAGCUAGAUAUAACUAUCUUGCUUCUUUUAAGUGAGAUAUGUUAAUUUUUGUAAAGAAUGAUUCGGUGAACUGUUUGAUCAGCUGGGUUCAGGUGGUUCUGUGGUGGUCCGGUCGAUCCAUCGGCUUCUCUUUAUUAAUAACAAGUGAUAUAUUUUGUUUAGAAGAAAAAAAAAUAAAAAAACAAGAGAAAAUAAUAGAGAAAUGGAUGAGAUUAGAGUAGUUUGUGUAUAAAAAAAUAAUUAUGAGAUUAAGUAGUCGAAGUCAAAUUAUAGAGAUUAAUGAAUAUAUUUUUAUAAGAUAUAAAGAUUAAUUAAUUAAUUU
rnacentral:misc_RNA from 1 species